AUCAAAAUUCAUAUUUUGAUAUUAAUAAUAAUUGAAAUCGAAAUUCGUACAUUAAAUUACUAACUAAAAUACCAAAAAAAGAAAAUUGUACUAAUUGCAAGUAUUUAAAUUAUGGUAAAAAAAAGCAAACACAUCAUAAAACAAAACCUAGACAUAACUAGGCAUCCGUCUUUUUGGUAUUGCUCAUUGUCUUCUUGAGAAGGGUACCAGAUGAUAUGUAAGUUGGUUUCCUUUUCUUUGAGUUUUGAAGUUGAUGGUCUUGAUGUGAUAUAAUAUCUAGUACCUAUACCAACAACAUUGAAACAAAAAAACGAGUUCAUUAAAAACUUAGCAUACUAGUUUAUGAAGAAAAAAAAAGUUUAAUGUACAAAGAAGUUAACAUAAACAUACCUUUGAAUCGGCUUGCACAGGGUAUUUUAUUCAUGGAACAAAAAUUUAUAUGCCUCCUCAAUUGUUGUGAAUUCUCCAGUUUUCAUAUACAAUCUUUCAACCUAGUUUGAUCUUUAUCACAGCAAACAAAUGCACAAAAAUGAUGUAAUUUGUUUUCUAACCCUAUCAAAUGAUGCUCCGUUAGCAUACACUUACAAAAACCCAAAAAAAUAGUGGAUUAAUUUAUAAACUAUAAACAUAGACCAACCUAUGAAAAAGAUGGUCUUGAUAGUUCAUUCGUCUGUUCAAGAAAGAUGGAUAAGUUGGUUUUGAAUCAUUAGUUUAAGGAAGAAUGAUUAAAUUAGAGUAAUUGUAAUUAGUAAUUACCAUAUCAGAUAUAGGUCCUGAGAAGAAACUUUAAUGAAAUCACCAACACAAAUGAUUCAAGCUCAAUGAUAGCAUAAGAAAAAAAAGCAUAUAAGACAAUGAAAGAAAACUAUACCUUUUGAUGCCUCUAAAACCUCAGAAUAAAACCUAAAACAACAUAUAAGAAAAUCGAAGAGUCUAACUCCUAAAACACACAAACAAAUAAACUAAACAAAAAUUAGAAAUUGGAAUGAGAAAAAAAAAAAGACAAAAAAGGGACCAAAAAUCAGAUAAAAAAACAGAAAAGAGAUACAACCUGAAUUCGAUGACCAGUAGCUUGUUAUUCACUAUUCAGAAAUCAAAAAAUAUCAACUUCUUUGACUUUGGUCUACAAGUUACCUGUUAUUCAGAAAUUAGAUAAAAAAACAAACUCAAUAUCAAAAUUCAGAACUCAGAACUCAGAAAAUAGAAUGAGAAGUACAGAAAAUGAGAAAAGAAAACAGAAUUAUUGAAACUAUGAAGCUAAGAAAUCGACAAGAUCAUAAAUUAUGAAGUAAAGAAUGAAAAUUUAGAACUCAUAACUUACCCAAAACCAAACUGGAACUCAGAAACACCAAAAUUCUUCAGAUUUUUGGUGAUCCUAUCACUUUAUUCUUCAGAAAUCACAUUACCAGGAAGUUUAUAGUAGAGAAAUCCCAUAUUAGUAUGCAAAGUAAAGAAAUCAGCUGGAAUUAACAACUAGGUUUAGAAGAGUUACAGAAAAGUAUAGAAAUUAUAAUGAGAGAUCGAGAAUGAUUAAUUUACCCAAUACUUCAGACAAUCAGAAGUGAUCGAUUAGAGAGGCAUCGGCGUCUCCAGUUUCCUCGAUCUCGCUAGUCGACGAUUGGUUUCUCAAGGCGUUAGCGCCCAUGAUUUUUGUUUCCUCGGUCCAUCUCAUUCGUAGGCGUCUGAAGAUGGCGAUGAACAUGGCGACAACGAGAAGGAUGACGGGAAGAGGAGACAUUAGGAUUUAUAGUCCAUUAUAGUGCAGUUUAAUGCCGGAGAUGGCGGCAGUAGAUGGCCGAUGAUGGCGACGACAACAAGCAUGGAACGAGAAAAUGAAUGGCGGUACGAUGAGAGGUGUGUUCGUGAAUAUAAGAUUGAGACAAUAAAAGUCUGUUGGGCUUUA
rnacentral:lncRNA from 1 species